UCGGAUGUGGUGUAUGGGGCACAUCAGCUCCGUAUUGAGAUCGCUUGGUGCAUCUGCACAUGCUGAAAGUCAGGGUUCGACUCCCUGCAUCCGAA